CCUUCCAAUACCAUUAUUCUCUAAAAUAGAGUAAAGAACAUGAAAUCAGUCAUACAGAAGAGUCAUAUACUACAGUUAGACAAUUACCUGUUCUCCCCCACAGGUUCAAUAUACUACAGGCCACUACUCCAGUGGUUCUAAACUAGUGAUAGGCCUAUGAGGAAGUACUGCAGGGGUAUUUGAUAGAAAGGGGAGUGGGAAUAAUGGAGGUAUUGAAACCAAAUAAGAGAACUACUGCUUAUUGUGAUUACAGGUAAGGUUAUAAUAAGAGACAACCAGUAACUGGCUUACAUUUACAUACUGGUAGCGCAGCUCCUUCACUCUGUCAGAGUUCCUCUCAAACGGUACCCUGUAGAUUUGUUUCAUUGUCAUGUGAUGCUUCUUCAAAACCCGGUCUAUUGUGGAGAUGCUUAUUGUGUUUAUAUUCUGGAAUAUAUGAUUGUCCUGAAGGAUGGCAUCACGGAUCUGUCUCAAUGUGAUGGCAUUAUUUGCCAUCACCAUGUUUUUUUUUGUUUGUUUUGUUUUGUUUUUCUUUUUGGAAGUGACAUCAGAAACAGCAGCAUGUGACAUCACGUGAUGGCGGAGCUUCAGUUCAUCCUUUGUCAUCCUUUUUUUUUUUUUUUUUUUUUUUUUUUUUUUUUUUUUAAUAGGACAGGGGGAAAGAAUGAAAGAAAGAGGGGGAGAGGAAGAAAGAAAACCAAAGGGGAGAAGAGACGGUGAGAAGGGGGGGAAGAGAGAGAAAAAAAAAAAAAAAAACUCCUGGGUCACCUGUAUGGAGAGAAAGAAAAACAAAAAAAACAGGGGAGACAGCAAACAACAAAGAGCAACAUAAUAAUAAUUUAAAAAAAAAGCACCAUCACAAUAAACUAGCUAGUCAUAGAUAUCAAUAGUUACUAAAUAAUAAACGAUAUUGUGCAGCACGCAAGAUAGACAGCGCACAGUGUGCUUUGAGGCAGCAGCCAAGAAAGCUGUAGUCCGCAUCUGUGAAUACCCAUGUGUACACCUGUGUGCAUACCUGUGUGGAUCAGCA
ensembl:lncRNA